rnacentral:rRNA from 1 species
UACAGAGACUGCGAGCGUUAUUCGGAUUCACUGGGCGUAAAGGGUGCGCAGGCGGCCAAGUGUGUUAGGCGUGAAAUCCCUCGGCUUAACCAAGGAAGUGCAUCCGAAACUGGAGAGCUUGAGUACUUAAGAGGAUCGCGGAAUUCCCGGUGUAGAGGUGAAAUUCGUAGAUAUCGGGAGGAACACCAGUGGCGAAGGCGGCGAUCUGGGAAGAUACUGACGCUGAGGUGCGAAAGCGUGGGGAGCAAACAGG